rnacentral:rRNA from 1 species
AGUGAACGCUGGCGGUAGGCCUAACACAUGCAAGUCGAACGGCAGCACAGUAAGAGCUUGCUCUUACGGGUGGCGAGUGGCGGACGGGUGAGGAAUACAUCGGAAUCUACUUUUUCGUGGGGGAUAACGUAGGGAAACUUACGCUAAUACCGCAUACGACCUACGGGUGAAAGCAGGGGAUCUUCGGACCUUGCGCGAUUGAAUGAGCCGAUGUCGGAUUAGCUAGUUGGCGGGGUAAAGGCCCACCAAGGCGACGAUCCGUAGCUGGUCUGAGAGGAUGAUCAGCCACACUGGAACUGAGACACGGUCCAGACUCCUACGGGAGGCAGCAGUGGGGAAUAUUGGACAAUGGGCGCAAGCCUGAUCCAGCUAUACCACGUGGGUGAAGAAGGCCUUCGGGUUGUAAAGCCCUUUUGUUGGGAAAGAAAAGCAGCAGGUUAAUACCCCGCUGUUCUGACGGUACCCAAAGAAUAAGCACCGGCUAACUUCGUG